CUCAAGCUCCACCCCACCACCCCAGGCUCCUCCCUAACCCCACCCCCGGGGCGGCCGAAGAGGCUCUGUUGGAACCUCGACCACGCCAGGUUUUGCCGAACCUGCUUUGAAAGUAGAGAUAAAGCGGUCUUGCUGACUCCAGGGUGACUUAGUAAUCAAGCAUGUGGACGGAAGAUGAUAGAGAACUGGGCCGAGGAACAGAAGCAGAGGAAUGGAAGAUAGGUGCGGGAAGUGAACAACGAAGUCCAGGGAAUCUGGAGCAUGUGGCACUUAGCAUAAGUCUGCCAAGCUGGCCUACGUCAUGGCACGUUGUGCAAGGGACAGAUGAGUGACAGAUGAGGAGGGGAGACUGAAGCCCAGAGAAUGCAGUAGAUAACCACAUGCAAACACUACAGCUAAGGCUCGGCAACGGCCUUUGUCCUCAAAGAUCUACCAAGUUAGGUCAGCUUCAUGGUUCAUAUUGACUUGUUUGAGACCGGCCUUAUUUGCCCUGGAACUCGAUCUGUAGACCAGGCUGGCCUCGAAUUCACAUAAAUCCAUCUGCCUCUGCCUCCUGAAUGCUGGGGUCAAAGACUUGUCCCACCACCGUCCAGACUCGUGUUCCACGUUGAAAGCUAUUUAUUUACCAUCUACUCCAUUAAUAAAUUUCACUUUCACUGA
rnacentral:sRNA from 1 species